CCUAAAAAUUUAACUCAAAUUCUUCUAAUUUAUUAAGCAAAUGGUAGCAGAUGCUAGCUCAAAUUUUGGCACUUAUUCAGGGGUUCCAUUAGCCAUGACAAACUUACAAAAUGAACCCUCCAAGCAUAAAAAGAAUAAAUAAUUAGAAUCUCCUCUUAAAAUUGCUAUUGGUUCCCAUUCCUGGCCUAAAAUGGAGCAGAAUCCCAAUAGCAAGAACCCCUCCUACCCAUCUGUCUCAUUUUACAUUUUGGCAUACACUCAUUCCUCUACAUCCAAAUCUCUAAAACUGUCUCAAGCCAUCUAUUUGCCUCCUCCUGAGUUUGGAAUAAUAGGUAUUUAUCAGAAUUCUGCACUCCAUAAGGCAUUCUCGCCUUCCCCACAACGCCGGU
rnacentral:misc_RNA from 1 species